UGGAGCAGUCUGGUAGCUCGCCGGGCUCAUAACCCGGAGGUCGUAGGUUCAAAUCCUG
rnacentral:tRNA from 1 species